AAGUCGAACGAUGAAGCCUUUCGGGGUGGAUUAGUGGCGAACGGGUGAGUAACACGUGGGCAAUCUGCCCUUCACUCUGGGACAAGCCCUGGAAACGGGGUCUAAUACCGGAUAACACUCUGUCCCGCAUGGGCGGGGUUAAAAGCUCCGGCGGUGAAGGAUGAGCCCGCGGCCUAUCAGCUUGUUGGUGGGGUGAUGGCCUACCAAGGCGACGACGGGUAGCCGGCCUGAGAGGGCGACCGGCCACACUGGGACUGAGACACGGCCCAGACUCCUACGGGAGGCAGCAGUGGGGAAUAUUGCACAAUGGGCGAAAGCUGAUGCAGCGACGCCGCGUGAGGGAUGACGGCCUUCGGGUUGUAAACCUCUUUCAGCAGGGAAGAAGCGAAAGUGACGGUACCUGCAGAAGAAGCGCCGGCUAACUACGUGCCAGCAGCCGCGGUAAUACGUAGGGCGCAAGGUUGUCCGGAAUUAUUGGGCGUAAAGAGCUCGUAGGCGGCUUGUCACGUCGGAUGUGAAAGCCCGGGGCUUAACCCCGGGUCUGCAUUCGAUACGGGCUAGCUAGAGUGUGGUAGGGGAGAUCGGAAUUCCUGGUGUAGCGGUGAAAUGCGCAGAUAUCAGGAGGAACACCGGUGGCGAAGGCGGRUCUCUGGGSCAUUACUGACGCUGAGGAGCGAAAGKGGAGGGGAGCGAACAGGAUUAGAUACCUGGUAGUCCACGCCGUAAACG
rnacentral:rRNA from 1 species